rnacentral:rRNA from 1 species
UACGGAGGAUCCAAGCGUUAUCCGGAAUCAUUGGGUUUAAAGGGUCCGUAGGUGGAUAAUUAAGUCAGAGGUGAAAUCCUGCAGCUCAACUGUAGAAUUGCCUUUGAUACUGGUUAUCUUGAGUUAUUAUGAAGUAGUUAGAAUAUGUAGUGUAGCGGUGAAAUGCAUAGAUAUUACAUAGAAUACCAAUUGCGAAGGCAGAUUACUAAUAAUCAACUGACACUGAUGGACGAAAGCGUGGGGAGCGAACAGG